GGGGAAUAUUGGUCAAUGGGCGAAAGCCUGAACCAGCAAUGCCGCGUGAGUGAUGAAGGCCUUCGGGUUGUAAAGCUCUGUCAGUGGGAACGAAUAAGCCGAUUAAUACUCGGUGAUGACGGUACCCACAAAG
rnacentral:rRNA from 1 species